rnacentral:rRNA from 1 species
UACGGAGGGUGCAAGCGUUCUCCGGAUUUCCUGGGUUUAAAGGGUGCGUAGGUGGAUAAUUAAGUCAGUGGUGAAAUCUUCAGGCUUAACCUGGAAACUGCCAUUGAUACUAUUUAUCUUGAAUACUUUGGAGGUAAGCGGAAUAUGUCAUGUAGCGGUGAAAUGCUUAGAUAUGACAUAGAACACCAAUUGCGAAGGCAGCUUACUACACAGUAAUUGACACUGAGGCACGAAAGCGUGGGGAUCAAACAGG